GACGAACGCUGGCGGCGUGCUUAGCACAUGCAAGUCGAACGGAAAGGCCCUGCUUUUGUGGGGUGCUCGAGUGGCGAACGGGUGAGUAACACGUGAGUAGCCUGCCCUUGACUUUGGGAUAACUUCAGGAAACUGGGGCUACUACCGGAUAGGAGCUCCUGCUGCCUGGUGGGGGUUGGAAAGUUUCGGCGGGUGGGGAUGGACUCGCGGCUUAUCAGCUUGUUGGUGGGGUAGUGGCUUACCAAGGCUUUGACGGGUAGCCGGCCUGAGAGGGUGACCGGCCACAUUGGUACUGAGAUACGGCCCAGACUCCUACGGGAGGCAGCAGUGGGGAAUAUUGCACAAUGGGCGGAAGCCUGAUGCAGCAACGCCGCGUGCGGGAUGACGGCCUUCGGGUUGUAAACCGCUUUCGCCUGUGACGAAGCGUGAGUGACGGUAAUGGGUAAAGAAGCACCGGCUAACUACGUG
rnacentral:rRNA from 1 species